AGUCGAGCGAAGCACUUUUGCGGAUUUCUUCGGGUUGAAGCAAUUGUGACUGAGCGGCGGACGGGUGAGUAACGCGUGGGUAACCCGCCUCAUACAGGGGGAUAACAGUUGGAAACGGCUGCUAAUACCGCAUAAGCGCACAGUACCGCAUGGUACGGUGUGAAAAACUCCGGUGGUAUGAGAUGGACCCGCGUCUGAUUAGCUAGUUGGUGGGGUAACGGCCUACCAAGGCGACGAUCAGUAGCCGACCUGAGAGGGUGACCGGCCACAUUGGGACUGAGACACGGCCCAAACUCCUACGGGAGGCAGCAGUGGGGAAUAUUGCACAAUGGGGGAAACCCUGAUGCAGCGACGCCGCGUGAGCGAUGAAGUAUUUCGGUAUGUAAAGCUCUAUCAGCAGGGAAGAAAAUGACGGUACCUGACUAAGAAGCCCCGGCUAACUACGUGCCAGCAGCCGCGGUAAUACGUAGGGGGCAAGCGUUAUCCGGAUUUACUGGGUGUAAAGGGAGCGUAGACGGCAUGGCAAGCCAGAUGUGAAAGCCCGGGGCUCAACCCCGGGACUGCAUUUGGAACUGUCAGGCUAGAGUGUCGGAGAGGAAAGCGGAAUUCCUAGUGUAGCGGUGAAAUGCGUAGAUAUUAGGAGGAACACCAGUGGCGAAGGCGG
rnacentral:rRNA from 1 species